rnacentral:tRNA from 1 species
GGAAUUGUAACUCAACGGUAGAGCAAUCGGCUGUUAACCGAUAGGUUGAAGGUUCGAAUCCUUCUGGUUCCG